GGUGCGGUACCCAAGUGGCUAAGGGAGCGGUCUGCAAAACCGCUAUUCGCCGGUUCGAUUCCGGCCCGCACCU
rnacentral:tRNA from 1 species